rnacentral:rRNA from 1 species
UACAGAGGUCUCAAGCGUUGUUCGGAUUCAUGGGGCGUAAAGGGUGUGUAGGUGGCGCGCUAAGUCGGGUGUGAAAUUUCGGAGCUUAACUCCGAAACUGCAUUCGAUACUGGCGUGCUUGAGGACUGGAGAGGAGACUGGAAUUCCCGGUGUAGCAGUGAAAUGCGUAGAGAUCGGGAGGAACAUCAGUUGCGAAGGCGGCUCUCUGGACCAGCACUGACACUGAGGCACGAAGGUCAGGGGAGCAAACGGG